rnacentral:rRNA from 1 species
AGGAUGAACGCUAGCGGCAGGCUUAAUACAUGCAAGGCGAAGGGGCAGCAAUGUCACUGUCGUACGGGUGCGUAACGCGUAUGCAACCUACCUAUAACUGGGGGAUAGCCCGGGGAAACCCGGAUUAAUACCGCAUAAUACAUGGAUGUAGCAUUACAUUUUUUGUUAAAGAUUUAUUGGUUAUAGAUGGGCAUGCGUUCGAUUAGCUAGUUGGUAUGGGUAACGGCCUACCAAGGCGACGAUCGAUAGGGGAGCUGAGAGGUUGAUCCCCCACACGGGCACUGAGAUACGGGCCCGACUCCUACGGGAGGCAGCAGUAGGGAAUAUUGGGCAAUGGAUGCAAGUCUGACCCAGCCAUGCCGCGUGCCGGAUGAAGGCCCUCAGGGUUGUAAACGGCUUUUAUUCGGGAAGAAGAGCAGGGAUGCGUCCUUGUGUGACGGUACCGAAUGAAUAAGCACCGGCUAACUCCGUGCCAGCAGCCGCGGUAAUACGGAGGGUGCGAGCGUUGUCCGGAUUUAUUGGGUUUAAAGGGUGCGUAGGUGGCUUUAUAAGUCAGUGGUGAAAUACAGCCGCUCAACGGUUGAGGUGCCAUUGAUACUGUAGAGCUUGAAAUAAUUGGAGGCUGCCGGAAUGGAUGGUGUAGCGGUGAAAUGCAUAGAUAUCAUCCAGAACACCGAUUGCGAAGGCAGGUGGCUACGAUUUAUUUGACACUGAGGCACGAAAGCAUGGGGAGCAAACAGGAUUAGAUACCCUGGUAGUCCAUGCCGUAAACGAUGAGGACUCGCUGUUUGGCUGUCACGGCUGAGCGGCUUAGGGAAACCGUUAA